rnacentral:tRNA from 1 species
GGGGUUGUAGCUCAUUUGGUAGAGCGCGCGCUUCGCAUGCGUGAGGCACGGGGUUCGAUUCCCCGCAACUCCA